AAGUGGAAUUAGAGUUGGUGGAUUGAAGUGGGAAGAACCGACAAAUUAGUGUCCUGUGAAAUGUGUACAUGUAUGUCAUCAAGCUGUACGGUACAUCUAUCCAAUUUUCGUAUGACCUGAUUGCAUGCUGUACUGAUGCAGCUUUGCUCAAGGGCAGUUUUCUGUUAGUCGAGUCCAUAGAUUGUUGUAUGGUAUGGACAGAGUCCACCCUUGUAUGAAUGGUGGCAAAGUCUUGUUGUAGGGCUUUGUUGCGGAAAUCUUCAAGAAAUCAAUCAUCUGGGCUCAAAAAAACCAACCAAACAAAUACAAUAGCCAGCUUGAAUGUGACCCAAAAACUCUUCCAACACCUUGGUUGCCACAAAUCCUCUCAACA
rnacentral:lncRNA from 1 species